AUUGAACGCUGGCGGCAGGCCUAACACAUGCAAGUCGAACGAGUGGCGGACGGGUGAGUAAUGUCUGGGAAACUGCCCGAUGGAGGGGGAUAACUACUGGAAACGGUAGCUAAUACCGCAUACCAUCGGAUGUGCCCAGAUGGGCUUAGCUUGUAGGUGAGGUAACGGCUCACCUAGGCGACGAUCCCUAGCUGGUCUGAGAGGAUGACCAGCCACACUGGAAAGGAGACACGGUCCAGACUCCUACGGGAGGCAGCAGGGGGGAAUAUGGCACAAGGGGCGCAAGCCUGAGGCAGCCAGGCCGGGUGUAUGAAGAAGGCCUUCGGGUUGUAAAGUACUUUCAGCGGGGAGGCGUUACCCGCAGAAGAAGCACCGGCUAACUCCGUGCCAGCAGCGCGGUAAUAC
rnacentral:rRNA from 1 species